AAGUCGUAACAAGGUUUCCGUAGGUGAACCUGCGGAAGGAUCAUUAUAAGAGGAGAACACAACACACAGUGAACAAGACGAUGAAGAAGAGAGAUUUAUUUUAAAAAGGACAACUUUUAGCAACGGAUCUCUUGGUUCUC
rnacentral:misc_RNA from 1 species